rnacentral:rRNA from 1 species
AGAGAGAGACAUGCGCGCAUAUCAAUAAGCGGAGGAAAAGAAACUAACAAGGAUUCCCCUAGUAACGGCGAGUGAAGCGGGAAGAGCUCAAAUUUGAAAUCUUAAAGGGUUUCCCUUUACGAAUUGUAGUUUAAAGAAGUGUUUUCUGUUGAGGUUUUGGUAAAAGUUCUUUGGAAUAGGACAUCAUAGAGGGUGAGAAUCCCGUAUUUGACCUUUACUUUCAACUUUGUGAUACACUUUCAAAGAGUCGGAUUGUUUGGGAAUGCAGUCCAAAAUGGGUGGUAAAUUUCAUCUAAAGCUAAAUAUUGGCGAGAGACCGAUAGCGAACAAGUACCGUGAGGGAAAGAUGAAGAGAACUUUGAAAAGAGAGUUAAACAGUACGUGAAAUUGUCAAAAGGGAAGCGUUUGACACCAGUGUUGUUUUUCUGAAAAUCAAUUAAAGAACUGUUUAUGCUAAGUUGUUUAGACUUUAUCAGCUAACUGUUUAGUUUUGAGCUUUUCUUUAAUGCACUUUUCAGUUAACAAGUCAACAUCAAUUUCUUUUGCUGUAAAAAAGCUUGAGGAAGGUGGCCUGAGAUUCGUCUUAAGUGUUUAUAGCCUCUUGCCUAUGCAGUCGGAGAGAUUGAGGUCUGCAGCGUAGAUCCUUCGGGGCUAAAUGCAUUUGUGCUAAGUUAUAGCAUUUUAUAGACAACUUGUUGACUAUGAUUUGUCUUGUAGCUUACUCGCUUAUGUUAUUUUACCUACGCUUAGGAUGUUGACGCAUGAGAUAUACGC